AAUUAUAUAUAUGUUUGUGCAAGGCGCGGCUCUUAACCUAGUCUACAAUAUAUCUCUACAAAAUGAUAACUUUAAAAAAAUAACAGUUUUUAGAAAAUUUAUUUAAAAAAUACAAUCCAAUGAUAAAAAAUUCUAAAAAAAUGAUCAGCUAUUAACAAAAACUCUUGUAAUCCUAAUUUCUAGUUCAAAAUAUCAAAUCUACAAUAUUUGUCUAUAAAAAUAAUAACUUUCCCAAAAUAGCAGUUUUUUAAAAAUUUAUUUUAAAAAACCUAUUGAUCAAAUAUUCUAAAAGAAUGUCUAUCUAUCAACAAAAACACUUGUUAUCCUACUUUCUAAAUUACAAUCUCAAAUCUACAAUAUUUCUCUAAAAAAUAAUAACUUUCCUAAAAUACCAGUUUUUAGAAAAUUUAUUUAAAAAAUACAACCUAAUGAUAAAAAAUUCUAAAAAAAUGCUUAUCUAUUAACAAAAACUAUUGUAAUCCUAAUUUCU
rnacentral:lncRNA from 1 species